CCGUGCCGCAGCUAACGCAUUAAGCGCCCCGCCUGGGGAGUACGGCCGCAAGGCUAAAACUCAAAGGAAUUGACGGGGGCCCGCACAAGCGGCGGAGCAUGCGGAUUAAUUCGAUGCAACGCGAAGAACCUUACCAAGGCUUGACAUACACGGAAAACCGGCAGAGAUGUCGGGUCCGCAAGGGCCGUGUACAGGUGGUGCAUGGUUGUCGUCAGCUCGUGUCGUGAGAUGUUGGGUUAAGUCCCGCAACGAGCGCAACCCUCGUUCUAUGUUGCCAGCACAUUAUGGUGGGGACUCAUAGAAGACUGCCGGGGUCAACUCGGAGGAAGGUGGGGAUGACGUCAAAUCAUCAUGCCCCUUAUGUCUUGGGCUUCACGCAUGCUACAAUGGCCAGUACAAAGGGCUGCGAGACCGUAAGGUGGAGCGAAUCCCAAAAAGCUGGUCUCAGUUCGGAUCGGGGUCUGCAACUCGACCCCGUGAAGUCGGAGUCGCUAGUAAUCGCAGAUCAGCAACGCUGCGGUGAAUACGUUCCCGGGCCUUGUACACACCGCCCGUCACGUCACGAAAGUCGGUAACACCCGAAGCCGGUGGCCCAACCCUCGGGAGGGAGCCGUCGAAGGUGGGACUGGCGAUUGGGACG
rnacentral:rRNA from 1 species